CCUACGGGAGGCAGCAGUGGGGGAUAUUGCACAAUGGGGGAAACCCUGAUGCAGCGACGCCGCGUGUGGGAAGACGGUCCUCUGGAUUGUAAACCACUGUCCCCAGGGACGAAGAUGACGGUACCUGGGGAGGAAGCUCCGGCUAACUACGUGCCAGCAGCCGCGGUAAUACGUAGGGAGCAAGCGUUGUCCGGAAUUACUGGGUGUAAAGGGAGCGUAGGCGGGUUGGCAAGUUGGGGGUUAAAUGUACGGGCUCAACUGGUAGUCGCACUCGAAACUGCUAUUCUUGAGUGAAGUAGAGGCAGGCGGAAUGCGUAGUGUAGCGGUGAAAUGCGUAGAUAUUAGGAGGAACACCAGUGGCGAAGGCGGCCUGCUGGGCUUUUACUGACGCUGAGGCUCGAAAGUGUGGGGAGCAAACAGGAUUAGAUACCCGAGUAGUC
rnacentral:rRNA from 1 species